GCUUAUGGUGGUGCAAGUGCGACCUGAGAUCAUCAGACCCCACAAACACACUCACCCUUUCCCUCUCAAAAACCCCACUUAGAUGGAGGCAGAUCUUCACUAAGUUUAGCUAUGGUUUUCCCACAGAAAAGCAGAAGAAAAAAGAGGGGAGGUUGAGGUGGAGUAGUUUCUUCAUUCAUCAGCUGUGUUUGUUUUAUGCCAACUCAAAUGGUGGUUGGUUGGUUAAUUUCUAAAAGAAUGAAAAGGAGGAGAGUGUGUGGGUCAUAGAUUGAAUACAUAAGACUUACUUUUGAUCUUUUAGAGAGAGAGAGUGAGUGAGAGACCGAUCUUUCUGCUUUUGCACCUUCCCUUCAAGUCUUGCUCCUCACAGAAUAAAUGCUAAGUACUGCACCGUCCUUCCUUUUAAUUUCAGUUUCAAUUUCAAUCCCCUCAGUAUUCAUUGUUAAGUGGGGCUCUACUGACCCAAGUCAAGUAGUUCUCUUUACUGUCUGUUCUCAGGACCUAGUGCAAGAGCUAGCCAAGGUUGAUCACAAGUGCCUCGGUUCAUGCUCGAAUUAUAUACAUCUCAGGAUCAAGGUAACAGUAUUAGAUAUAAAUAUGCCUGGCUCCCUGUAUGCCAUUUGCAGAGCCCAUCGGCACAUCGAUGGCCUUCGUGAAUGGCGUGCGAGGAGCCAUGCAUAUUGCAUUUCUCAUCAACUGCAUCUAUCAAUAACUUCUGAGCUCGUUUUGUUGUGGAGUUUUCUCCUCAUAUCUUUUUUUUCUUUUUCAUCAUUCUUUCCUUCAUUUUUAGGGAGGGGGAAAGAAUUUUUGUUCAUCCAAAAAAAAAACCUGAGAUGGAAGUCUGCAACUGCUGCUAGGUUUAAGCCUCUCUCUCUCUCUAGUAUUAGUUGUGAGAAGUUUGAUCGAAAUUAUAUUUGAAAGAGCAACACUAAAUUCAGGUCCUGGCAUGUCUGAACCAGGAUACUGAAUUCUAGGGUUUCCCUCAUCAUGAUGUUUGAAUUAGGUGAGCAUGUUUCACAUCAUUAGGAGUAUUUAGGAUUUUUCAUUUUAUCUUGCAGAACGCGAAGUUCUAGGGUUUCCUUCAGCAUGUGAUGGUAUUUCAAGUUAGACGUGAUUGUAUGUUGCACACACACACCACUAGUAACACAGUAUUCUUGGUAUGUGCACUUAAUUUCCUAUUGAUUCAGAUUGGCCAUCAAUAAAGCUCAAAUUGCAUGGGAA